rnacentral:ncRNA from 1 species
AAAGGUUUGGUCCUGGCCUUGAGGUCAGUUAUUACUUAAUAUACACAUGCAAGUAUCCGCCCCCCUGUGAAAACGCCCUUUAACCCCUCCUAGGGACAAGGAGCUGGUAUCAGGCACUAAAAUUUGCCCAAGACACCUAGCUUUGCCACACCCACAAGGGAACUCAGCAGUGAUUAACAUUGAGAAUUAGCGAAAGCUUGACUCAGUUAAAGUAAGACAGAGCCGGCUAAUCUGGUGCCAGCCGCCGCGGUUACACCACGUGGCUCAAAUUGACCCCCUCCGGCGUAAAGCGUGAUUAAAGUUUCCUUAUACUAGAGUUAAACUGAAACUAAGCUGUGACACGCUUGUUUACCAAGAAAUCCAAAAACGAAAGUUACUCUACUACAACCAACUUGAACUCACGACAGCUAGGGAACAAACUGGGAUUAGAUACCCCACUAUGCCUAGCCGUAAACUUUUACUCACACCCAAAUCGCCAGGGAACUACGAGCCAAGCUUAAAACCCAAAGGACUUGACGGUACCCCACAUCCACCUAGAGGAGCCUGUCCUAUAAUCGAUAAUCCACGUUUAACCUCACCAUUUCUAGUUAUUCAGCCUGUAUACCUCCGUCGUCAGCUUACCACGUGAGCGCUAAUUAGUGAGCCCAAUGUUUUUCACCAAUACGUCAGGUCAAGGUGCAGCAAAUGAAAUGGGAAGAGAUGGGCUACACUUUCUAUCUUAGAAGAAACGGAAAACUACCUAUGAAACCUAGUUAGAAGGCGGAUUUAGCAGUAAAAAGGAAUCAGCAUGUCCAUUUUAACCCGGCACUGGGGUGUGUACACACCGCCCGUCACCCUCUUCAAAGCUACUAUGCCUAGUCCCUAACAAACUAAAGCCACACAGAAGAGGCAAGUCGUAACAUGGUAAGUAUACCGGAAGGUGUGCUUGGAAA